GGGGAAUAUUGCACAAUGGGCGAAAGCCUGAUGCAGCAACGCCGCGUGCGGGAUGACGGCCUUCGGGUUGUAAACCGCUUUCAGCUCCGACGAAGCGCAAGUGACGGUAGGAGCAGAAGAAGGACCGGCCAACUACGUGCCAGCAGCCGCGGUGAUACGUAGGGUCCGAGCGUUGUCCGGAAUUAUUGGGCGUAAAGGGCUUGUAGGCGGUUUGUCGCGUCGGAAGUGAAAACUCAGGGCUUAACCCUGAGCCUGCUUCCGAUACGGGCAAACUAGAGGAAUGCAGGGGAGAAUGGAAUUCCUGGUGGAGUGGUGGAAUGCGCAGAUAUCAGGAGGAACACCAGUGGCGAAGGCGGUUCUCUGGGCAUUUCCUGACGCUGAGAAGCGAAAGCGUGGGGAGCAAACA
rnacentral:rRNA from 1 species